rnacentral:rRNA from 1 species
CCUACGGGAGGCAGCAGUGGGGAAUAUUGCGCAAUGGGGGAAACCCUGACGCAGCGACGCCGCGUGAGCGAAGAAGGCCUUAGGGUUGUAAAGCUCUGUUUUAAGGGACGAAUGUCGUGGGGAGUAAUAUGCUCUGCGAAUGACGGUACCUUAAGAGGAAGCCCCGGCUAACUACGUGCCAGCAGCCGCGGUAAGACGUAGGGGGCGAGCGUUGUCCGGAAUUACUGGGCGUAAAGAGCACGUAGGCGGGAACUUAAGUCAGGUGUGAAAGACCGGGGCUCAACUCCGGGGUUGCACUUGAAACUGGGUUUCUUGAGGGCAGGAGAGGAAAGCAGAAUUCCUGGUGUAGCGGUGAAAUGCGUAGAAAUCAGGAGGAAUACCAGUGGCGAAGGCGGCUUUCUGGACUGACCCUGACGCUGAGGUGCGAAAGCGUGGGUAGCAAACAGGAUUAGAUACCCUGGUAGUCCACGCCGUAAACGAUGGAUACUAGGUGUGGGAGGUAUCGACCCCUUCCGUGCCGCAGCUAACGCAAUAAGUAUCCCGCCUGGGGAGUACGGUCGCAAGGCUAAAACUCAAAGGAAUUGACGG